AUGGGAGAAGUCCGACGAAAGGUGCGGCUGUGGGAGGCAAGGAUGGAGGAGUUUGGCAGUGGAUCUACUUCCGGUGGUGUCAGUGUUGCUAACUUGAUUUGCGCGGGGCUAUGUUAUUUUGCAACUAUUGGUGUGAGGUUGUUAUUGUUUUUGUUGGUACGAAGGUUUUGGAGUAGCAACACAAGGGCUUUGAUGCAUGAUUUAUGCAACAGUGACAGGGCUGUUUUUUGUAGGGCUUUUGGACUGUAUAUGAGGUUCUUUUAUGAAGGAUUUGAGAGCAGGGCAACAACUAUUAGUGCAGGGCUAGACAACAAUAUGUUGGACUGA